rnacentral:rRNA from 1 species
UACAGAGGGUGCGAGCGUUGUUCGGAAUUACUGGGCGUAAAGCGCGCGUAGGCGGCCCGGAAAGUCGGUUGUGAAAUCCCCGGGCUCAACCUGGGAACUGCAUCCGAGACUGCAUUGCUAGAGUAUGGGAGAGGGAAGCGGAAUUUCUGGUGUAGCAGUGAAAUGCGUAGAUAUCAGAAGGAACAUCAGUGGCGAAGGCGGCUUCCUGGACCAAUACUGACGAUCAGGUGCGAAAGCGUGGGGAGCAAACAGG